AUGAAUGGGCUGACCACUUCUGCACAUUCAUAUAGACGGCGGGGCUCGCAGCUUCUGUCUUGCAGGACGUUGGCGUCAAGACUUUGGCACAAGAACGACACAGCCAGCUACCCUUACAUAAUUCAGCAAGGAGAUUUCUCUGAGGAGACACAGCUAGAUGCUCUGACUGUUUUCAAGGUUUUCCACUUCUGCAUUCCUGUUGAGACUGAGAAGAAAUGUCUACAAAGCAUUUUAAAGGUCAUAUUUGUGCAUCCUAUUUGUACCCGUCUCCAUCUCUUGGCUUGAAAGGUGAAAUGAUGGUUCUUUAUUUUGCUUGCUGUCUUUAGUUGCUUUGAUUUCUGGGUUCUGUUCCGCUAAUUUAACUGCCGGGUCCCCUUAAUUCAGGGGAGUAUUCUUGUUUUUAAAAAGGUAGAGAAACCAUUAUCUGCGGCAUAUUCUAAAAAGCGUUCUUUGUAUUAAGCUUAUUUUCUGAAAACCUAAAUAUUUCAGUAACAUUAUUUAAACUACGCAUCAUUAUAUGCAUCACUGACAGCAUGAAUUAAACCAAAAGAGUUCAGGCUACUUUGUCUUCAUAGUAAAAGAAUAAAUAAAGGAUACUCAAGGAAUUGAGAGGAUUA
rnacentral:lncRNA from 1 species